UCGGAUCGUAAAGCUCUGUUGUAAGAGAAGAACGAGUGUGAGAGUGGAAAGUUCACACUGUGACGGUAACUUACCAGAAAGGGACGGCUAACUACGUGCCAGCAGCCGCGGUAAUACGUAGUGUCCCGAGCGUUGUCCGGAUUUAUUGGGCGUUAAGCGAGCGCAGGCGGUUAGAUAAGUCUGAAGUUAAAGGCUGUGGCUUAACCAUAGUACGCUUUGGAAACUGUUUAACUUGAGUGCAGAAGGGGAGAGUGGAAUUCCAUGUGUAGCGGUGAAAUGCGUAGAUAUAUGGAGGAACACCGGUGGCGAAAGCGGCUCUCUGGUCUGUAACUGACGCUGAGGCUCGAAAAGCGUGGGGAGCAAACAGGAUUAGAUACCCUGGUAGUCCACGCCGUAAACGAUGAGUGCUAGGUGUUGGGUCCUUUCCGGGACUCAGUGCCGCAGCUAACGCAUUAAGCACUCCGCCUGGGGAGUACGACCGCAAGUGAAACUCAAGGAAUUGACGGGGGC
rnacentral:rRNA from 1 species